UGUAACAGGGUAAAGAAGGGAGGGGGGAGCGUCUGAAAUGAUGUUUAAUCAAUCUUUACAGUGCACAGACUAGCCCUCUCAAGCCUCAAGAAAGCUACAAUGUUGCAAACAAAAAGAAGAUCUUGCAGCUCUCUUUAUGAUCGUCCUCUCCACGCUUUCCCUCUCCACUCACUUGUCGCAUGCCCCGUGGCCUUGUGCCAAGAAAAGCAAACAGCACGAGAUGCAAUAAAGAGAUUACAUGUCCAUUUCCAACUGUAAACCAGCAAUGAAAAAUGUAUCCCCACAAACACACACACACAGUCAAAAGUUAAAGAAGGAAAAAACAUGUGCCACAUCUUUCUUGGUUUACCCUAAGACACCAAUUCACCACAACACUAUGAUGAGUGCUAGGAAGAAAAGGCGAAGGGUAUAUAAACAAGUCUAAGUGGAGGGUGAGGCAAUCACCAUGAUUGUACCUGUGCUUCUAUAUCCAAUCAUCUUUUCCCAAUUACCCUGCAUAACCCAACACACAUAGCCCCACCUUGAAAAAUCAAGAUAUAUUGCCAUAUCCCCACUUUCUUAGAUGCAAAGCAAUAAACCAUAAUCGUUUUGUGAUAACCACACCCUAUUAGCACUUCUAUAUACAGGCUGAUUUCCUCUCCUUCUGUUUCCUUUUUGUUCUGAUACCAGCCCAUUACUGGUAACAGGCACAGCUACAAGUUUGGUUGGAUAUGCAUGGUAUAUCAAUAUAUAGAGAGAGAUAUCAAGUUUGGCCUUACUGACUGUACUCCUGGCGGCCUCAGGGCAGAACCGGUGCACUUCUUUAGUGUGCUCUUGCUAUGUACCCUCAAGAAACAUUAACGACAAAGGUGAAGAAAGCAACAGGAGCAACAAUACUAAGAAGGGAUCCUUUGCGGAAGAGAGAGAAUAUGGGGUCAUGGAAGAAGCCAGUAAUAAUGAAUCAGUGCAAGAUCAUCAAAUGAGCAAUGGUGGGAGAAAUAGAAGAAGCAGGAAUGCGAGUGGGUCUAAUAAUGGAUCUCUCUUGGAAACUUCUCCUCUCAAGAGUACUCUCAAGAAAACUACUAGUGCUAUAGUUGGGGAAAAUCAAGCAAGGAAAGAUCAUCAAAAGAGAAAAGUCAGUUGGCCUGAUAUUGCUCAUGGAACAGAUAUUGCUCAUGUUCUUGAAUUUGAAUCAAGCACCUCUGAUGAUGGAGAACUUGAAGGAGUAAGGAACUCUUGUGUUUGUACAAUUCAGUGAACAAGAAAUCCAUAGAGCAGGUUGCAGGUAUAAAUGGUGAGUCCAUGAGGGUCUUUCUUCAAACAAAACGCUGGGAGUACCUAAUGAUCUAUAUAACAACUUCAUUUCUAUAAGAAUAUAAGAAUUCCAGGGGAGAAAUAAAAUCUCAAGGCAUCUGUACUGUACGUACAGAAGAUAAGUGGGAUAUGUGUCUGAAUUCUUUUUAAAAGACUGGGGACAAAGAAUGAUUGGGUUGUUGGAAAAGUAAAGGUUGAGAAUCAGGAUAGUUCGUAGGACCAAUUAUAAGACAAUUGUAUUGUCAGCAUGGUCAAAAUAGAACGAAUGCAAACUCAUGAGAAUCAAUGCAUACAAGGAACUAGAAAUGUCCUUCUCAGGACAAAUUCCUCGAAUUUUUUGCUAUUAGCUAGCGUCUCACAACACGGAUGAAGAUAUAAAAUAAAUUUAUCUUUCUCUAACUCAACAAAGGCCGUAUAAAAUAAUUUGCCUCUUAUUCUUACAGUUUUCCUUCUUUUUUCCAAAGUUUCCCACAGUUUUUCUG